UACGUAGGGGGCGAGCGUUAUCCGGAUUUACUGGGUGUAAAGGGAGCGUAGACGGUUUUUCAAGUCUGAAGUGAAAGCCCGCGGCUCAACUGCGGAACGGCUUUGGAAACUGAGGGACUAGAGUGCUGGAGGGGCAGGCGGAAUGCGCGGUGUAGCGGUGAAAUGCAUAGAUAUCGCGCAGAACCCCGAUUGCGAAGGCAGCCUGCCGGCCCCACACUGACGCUGAGGCACGAAAGCGUGGGUAUCGAACAGG
rnacentral:rRNA from 1 species